GCCGAGGUGGUGAAAUUGGUAGACGCAGUGGACUCAAAAUCCACCGGGCUUUGCCCAUGCCGGUUCGAGUCCGGCCCUCGGCA
rnacentral:tRNA from 1 species